rnacentral:rRNA from 1 species
AGUGAACGCUGGCGGUAGGCCUAACACAUGCAAGUCGAACGGCAGCACAGGAGAGCUUGCUCUCUGGGUGGCGAGUGGCGGACGGGUGAGGAAUACAUCGGAAUCUACUUUUUCGUGGGGGAUAACGUAGGGAAACUUACGCUAAUACCGCAUACGACCUACGGGUGAAAGCAGGGGAUCUUCGGACCUUGCGCGAUUGAAUGAGCCGAUGUCGGAUUAGCUAGUUGGCGGGGUAAAGGCCCACCAAGGCGACGAUCCGUAGCUGGUCUGAGAGGAUGAUCAGCCACACUGGAACUGAGACACGGUCCAGACUCCUACGGGAGGCAGCAGUGGGGAAUAUUGGACAAUGGGCGCAAGCCUGAUCCAGCCAUACCGCGUGGGUGAAGAAGGCCUUCGGGUUGUAAAGCCCUUUUGUUGGGAAAGAAAUCCAGCUGGUUAAUACCCGGUUGGGAUGACGGUACCCAAAGAAUAAGCACCGGCUAACUUCGUGCCAGCAGCCGCAGUAACAC